CCUAAAUCUACCCCUGGAAAUGCCCACUAUGUCUUCGAUAGCCUUGUCAAUUAAUGUGAACUUGGGCGCUAAAAUCUCUCCCAUAGACGCUUCCUCUCACAUCGACUAUUUCCAAAGGUCAAAAAGGAGAUUAAUCGGGUUCUCGAGUGUUUCCUAAGGUUUGUGGUGCAGAAGAAGGGUCAAACUACCACCAGGGUCACACAUCUAUCCCUGGAGAUGCCCAUAAUGCCGACGAAAGCCUUGUCAAAUAUAUGUGUGCACCGUACUAGGCUGGGCACCGACCAAAAACUGUCACGCCCACUCCGAUAACAAGCUAAAUUUAUCAUUAUCGUUAAAAUCCUUCAUUACCGACGUUAUUUUGCAUUAAGUGACUAAGUGGAUUAAGAACUGCAUACAUGAGAAUGGUUGAUGACAAUGAUAUGCGAGUCAGGUGGGUGAGCAGAGAGGAAGGGAGGCGUUUCUUUGAAUGAAAGGUGACUGACAGGAAUAGUGAGGGUCUAGAAUGGAAUGUGAGGAAGUGGAAGAAAGAGAUAGACAGUGCAGUGAAAGGCGACGGUCUGAGGAGGUGGAAGCAUGCGAUGGAGUGGUACAGGGAAAAGGAAGCCCCGCAGUGUGUCAGCUGGUAUGAUGCAAGCCUGGGUGGUGAUCUUCUCUUCCAAGCUCGAGCGCAGUGAAUGAAUGUGAAUGCAAGAAAUUACAGGUGGUCUGAGUCCCGCAGCAAAGUGUGUCAGAUGUGUGACAGGGGUGUGGAUAAAACUGUCGUGCAUGUGAUACUGGUGUAUGGGAGGUACAGGAGAGAAAGGACGGAGACGAUGAGGGUGGCACUGAGUGAAAUGGGCUGGGAUGUGAAUGGGAGGAUUGCAAGAACAGAGAGGGAAUGGAUGCUGCUGCUGCUGGGACUGAGUGCUGAAGCAAAUGAUAGAAUUAUAGAAGCCAUGAAGAGUUUUCUGGAAAAGAUGUGGUGUACAAGAAAUAGGGAAUUGGAAGAUUUGUAAUGGAUACUGCUUGUGUUGUUUUAUUUUUACAGGUUGUGCGACUCUCCAACGGGUGACCCGUUGGAGAGUCAGGCCUUUGCAUCGGCCUGAGUUCAGGAACAGCAAGAGAGCGGGGACCUAAACCAACUCCGCCGAGUCCAUAUUUCUACUUUUUACCCGUGGUUUACGCCGCCAAGAUGAGGGAGACGAGUGCCGUGUUGGAAAAGCCACUCCGUGCCGUCUGUGCUCUGAAGAACGAAGGGAGAACAGAAGAAAGGAGGGAAGGCCAUCUUGGAAAACUCAAGAACCAGUCACCCCAGUCCAAGGAAAGGUCACAAGAGGUCAAGGAGGUCACAGUAUGAAGGAGCAGUCCAGUCAAGUCAAGUUAUUGGAAAGGGAAGGGAAGGGAUAGGAAAGGAUAGGGAAGGGAAAGAAAUGAAAGGAAAGGAUAGGAAAGGGAAGGAACAGAGAAGUGUAUAUAUAGUUAAGCUUAAAGUCAUAUACACUCACAUAGAUUUACAUACAGUUUCGAUGGUGCAUUUGACGAAGGCGUUUGAUUCAGUGGGUAGCGGAUUGGCCCGGCCCACGGUGUUAUGGACUCGCUCAACACAAGUACGGUAAACCCUCGAUUUAACGGACUAAUUUUCAUUUCUAUUUAUUCAUUUAUUUUUUUCACAUCAGAGGACACGUCUCAAGGGCAGUAAGGAGUACAAAAAAAAAAAGCGCGCUACUCGCCGCUCCUAUAAAAGAUAAAAGUGAAGAGUAGCCAAAAGAGAGGUCAAUUUUGGGUGGAGAGGUGUCUUGAUACACACUCAAUUUUGGGGGAACUUAGUCCAUUAGGGCCGAAAGUCCGUUAUAAGCAGCGAAGAUUUAAAAAAAACGUAAAAUAAUAAAACGAUGAAGCUAGUAAACGUAGGUAUAUAUAUUUUUUAUUGUGUAUGUUGUGUGCACGUUGUCUGCAUGGCCACACAGCACACUUGGCAAUGCACUCCGAGGCACUGAGGUUGCUAGGUUGUGAGUGGAGUCUUGCGUGGGGGUCAUAUUGUUACGGGUAUGGGUAUGAUUUUACAAGUGCAGUGAGUAGCAGGCUUUUUUUUAUUAUUGUUUACUUUUUUUGUGCCCUUCAGCUGUCUCCUUUGUUGUAAAAAAAAAAAAAAAAAAAAAUUGCGCCAAUCUCACACUGGCAGACGAAGCAUUUUUUUUGUAGGUUUUGGUGUGUUAUGAAAUAACCUGCUAACUGUUUCUGUCACAUAAUUAAAUGAUUGACUUUUCAAUGCCUGGUGUACACCCGCCACAGCACCUGUAAAAUAACUUGCAUAGAGAAAUGUUCAACUUGCUUAGUUUCUAUAUUUCGCACCAGGUUCGAUUCCUGGGCGAAGUUGAAAAAUUUGGGCGGCUUUUCUGAUACUACGCCCCUGUCCACCCAGCAGUGAAUGGGCACCAGGUAUUAAUCGAGGGUUGUGUACCGUCUCCUGGGAUCUGUUGCCUUCUCCUAUAAUUCCUUCCCCUUCUGUCUCUCUCCGGCAUAUGACCACAGAUGUUGCGCCGACUAAACCAAACUUUCCAACUUUUUCUGACCUUCUCCAUUAUAUCUGAAAUCCAUUAUAAGUGGGUCUGUUAUAUCCAGGGUUUACUGUAUAUGUAUAUGGUUAAGCUGUUGUAGUUACCAGAAGCGGGUGGUUCAAAAGCUAUUCUAGGUCCGUCCCCGUGGAUUUCUCACCCUCUGACCUUGUCCGUUAUAUCCAAAAUCCAUUAUGAGCGGGUCCGUUAUAUCCAGGGUUUACUGUAUUAUGUAUAUUGUUAACCCGGUAGCAGCGACAGGCCAAAUUUGUGGCUUUACCGUGUAGCAGCGACAGGCCAAAUUUGUGCCAUGAUAUAACCCCCCAAAAAUAGAUGAUACAUAAUCUGAUUAUCUCUUUUAUCGGUAAAUUUCUUCUGUUCUUUCUUUCAUUAUUUAUUUUCCUUCUCUCAUCUCUCUCCUUCCCUUACCUCCUCUCUCUCUUAUUCUUCUCAUUACGUUCUCUCUCUCCCUCUUUACCUUUUCCACUCUCUUCCUCUCUCAUAGGAAUAUAACACACAAACAUUACAAAUUAACUUUUUAUUAAUAGAAAAACACACAUACAUACAUACACAUAGUAACAUUGAUAAGGCUAUGUUGACUAGGGGGGAGGGAGGGAGGAGGGGGUCCUUCAUGAGGCUGGGGGGGUAUGUGUCUGUGGGGGGUACAUACUGUGGGGUCCUGUGAGCUGUGGCGAGGUGAGAGAGAGAGAGAGAGAGAGAGAGAGAGAGAGAGAGAGAGAGAGAGAGAGAGGGGGGGG